AUGAUACUGCAUUACUACGAAAGUCGGCCCCCACACUGAGCCCGAGAUCCCAGAGAUCUCCAAAUUUAGUAAGAGAUGUCUGCUUUGUCCACAGUAGGUUGGAGCCAAUUCUUAAAUUAGUUCUUAAAUGAAAAGAUUUACUAAAAUAUUUAUCCAAUGGAAAUUUUUGCUGGAGGACAUUUUCUACCGGUAAUUUCCUUGGGCCCAACAAACUUCCUUCAGCUGAACGUCUAUCCUUUCAACAGAACAAUUUUGCUGUCUCUCAGUGAAGUACUAUUCUAUUUUCCAUCAACCUACUCGAUAUUUUCCACCAAAAAUACUUCAAAGUUUCUCCACCAAAUAAAACCCAACAAAAAGUAGUUACGAUGUCCCAUGUUGCACAUAAAAUUCAGAAGUACACACAAGAUGUGGGGGAGGAGGGAUACCUCAGCAACAUUGCGCGAGUGGCAACGUUGCAUACUACCUGGUGGCCAUUCUGACAAUGUACCUUGUGGACCACCCACAACAAUACCUAUCUUUCCUGUCCCUGUGGAGUGAGGAAGAAAAAGGAGUCGUCGAGGUAGAAUGGAAAGGAUAUAGGCGCACGCCCAUCCUACUAUCUCCUCGUUCGAUACUAAAACUAAGGGAGGGAAGGAGGACAAGGAGAAGAGUUACUUUUACAGUUACACUCGCUGGAGCGAUUCUACCCCGGUAUUUAGAAAAAAAUGGAAGGAAAAAAAGCAAAAACUGUAAAAGGUAGACGGAUAGAUUGUGAUUAAAAGGAAAAAAAAAAGGAUUACAAAGCGGUUUUGCAUAUCCACCUACAGUAGCCGAGUAUCAAGUGGCAAAAGGCGUUUUUCCAUUCAAUUAAACAUGAAGAGUGUAGAGAAACUGUGGAUGCCCUUUCCCAAACUAGAAAUCUAGGGUUUCGGGUAACAUUAUAUCCUUCAAACAUUUUGGAGUAACAGAGAAUGACCCGAACCCAUUGUUUACUCACUGGAAAAUAUUUCGAGUCAUAUUCCAGUGUAAGAGUAUCAAGUGUCAGUCCGGGUGGUCCCUGAAUCAAGUCACAAAGCAUGUAGAUAACUUUUACGAUGACUACGACUGGAUUUUUGGCUCUUUCAGGACCUGGAUGAAGUCGUCAACGACUGCGGUGGUCGAAUAAAACGCGUUUGGGACUUUUGGUGGAGUGGGAAGACGAGGGGAGAGGAAUAUGGUCAGGUUUUAGCUCCAGGUACACAGAAAGGAAGAAAAAAAGAAGAAAAGAAUAUUUUCACUUUGCCAUUUGAUUUUCGAAAAUUUGGAAACUUUUCGACUACUUUCAUGGACAUUUUCGCAAAGUGAAGAGGGAUCUAAUCGACUUUCUUCUGAUCUCCAUAAUUUUUUUAGACAACCGACAUAAACAUUCCAUAGACAUUGACAAUUGACAUCACCUGGAUUCUUCCAGUACCAAUGUAUCAGACAGAUAGAAAUUAUGGAAUUUGACCCUAUCCCUUUAUUUACGAAAGCUGAUAAAAUGAGAAAACGUAAUGGUGCAAAUUGUAAAUGUAAUGGAGUGAAGAUCAUUUCAUUAAAAAUUAUGAUGUCCGCCCUAUCAACAAGCCCUACACUUCUGUGACUCCUUUACAAUUCACAUUCAUAUAAUUAUAACCCAAAAAAUGUAAUUCUGAUUUAUCCUUGCAAAUCACGUCAUCACAGUGGCAAUCUAAAUUAUGGAAAACUCAUAACCAGAUUAUCAAGAGAUUACAAUUGCUAUCGAGAUUAUAAAGAAGUUGAAAAUUCACAAUGCAUGCCCGCCCUCCACCCAUUUCCUGCUUCUCACUUCUUACACGAGCCAAGGAUAAAAAGAUUAUUCCAGGAAUCGUCUUCAAGGGAUCCUUUGGUGCUUCACCGACCGUUUGAAAGAUCGUUUUCGGCUUCACGUAUAAACUCAAAACCCCUCCCCAAUCAUCGCCGAGCAUUCUCCUUUCACAUAUUAAAAAAAAUCCACUUAUUUCUUAGA